ACAGCAAAGCAGGAGCAUUAACUCCUGUUAAUGGGGUGAACUGUUUCUCCUAGCCUUUGCAUCUCUGAAGAAAUGGACUCUUCAUCUCUCCUGGCAGAAUUUCCUUCUGAUCAGAAUUUCCUUCUGAUCCUAAGGGAAUUGUAGCAAGGACUAGAGGUCACUGCUAUGACAAAGCAUAGGUUUGGGAACAGCAGUUAUUGACAAGCUUCUAUCCAGUGAGCACCAGAAUAAUCCCCUGAAUCAUCAAGGGAAACUCAGGUCACCUUCCAUUCCACACAUCUCUAACUGUGGUUUAUUAAUAGACUGAAUACAUUUGCUAUUUCUACAUAAGGGCCCACUUCUGAUCUCCUCCAAAGAAGGUUUUAAUCUGCCUGAUUUAAAUGGAGUUACUUCUAAUUUAGUUCACUUCAGUGAGGAAUCACUCCAUGAUCCUCUGCAGAGCUCUUCUGGGCUUCAACUUUUUAAUUGUGCUGCAUAAUGCUUUUAUCUUCCUUAUGGGGCCUCCUAGCCCCAAAUCCACACCUCAGCAAAAGUCCCACCGUAAGUCAGUCUUCAUAUCACAGCGUGAAGGGGGCAAAGAAACAGAGCAUCAGGAUCACAGGAAGAGGAUACAGCAUGGGCUCUUACCUUCCACUCUAUUUUUCCUGUUGUCUGGCUUUCCUCUGCUGUAAGAAUAAGAAGACAAAGGAGUUUUGCCCCAAACCCAUUUCUGCUGAUGCUUACACUAAGUUGAGACAUUUUAAUCUGUCCUGUCCACAAUAACUCUGCUCAUCCCAUCUGGGUCUUUCACCGAAAGACUAAUCUCACCUGCUCUAGAGGUAUUUGUUGGUUUGUUAGAGAACAAUCAAAUCUACUAAAGAGAUUAAAGAGGUAGUUCCAGAGACAGAUGAGAUACAUGGAAUGGUUUCUCCUGGAUCCAUCAAUCUUGCAUCUAGUUACAGUAAAUCAGCACCACAGUGAACUCAAUCCAUUUCAUGAACACAUGGGCUAAGGGUUCAUUUUUACAGCCAAGAGUAGUUUAUUCCCAGAAGUUAACACCCUACAAAAGAAGAAGAAGCAGAUGAGAGAUACCAAGCUGGAAGUCAAAUAAAGUGCAAAGGAAGAGUUCAGCAGAAACUCAGUGAUGGCAAGUAAGCAGAUGGAGCUCCUGGAAAAAAGAAUUCCCCAAACAGGAAAAGCAAAAUGCCACAUGGAAAUGUUGUGUUCUAGAAUGGACUCCAAGGCACCCAGUCCUCUCUGUCCCAAGCGUUUUCUCUUGGAGAAGCCACUCAAUUUACUGAUGUGCUCAGGAUCUGCUGGAUGAGCAUCAUGCAUCGAUAAUGAGCUUCAUCAAAAGUUUAGCUUCAACACAGAGGCUUUUACUUAAAAAAAAAAAAGUGCUUCCAUUCUCAAACACCAUCAUGGUGGAGAUCCAGUUUCCUGCUACAGGGAAUCUCCAAGGAAGUGGUUGAAUUUAUCAUGUCCUACAGGGGAAAACACUCAAACUAAUAACAACCGGAAUAGCCGUCAAAAUAAACAACAACAGAAAUCUAGAUGAGAUAAGCAUAAAAAACAGAACUGAAAGAGUGUUAGAAGAGAUUAAGGAGAUGAAAUCCCCUUAGCAAGGCCUUGGCUGGGGAAAAAGGAAAAAAUUUCAACAAAUAUCUGCUACACCUUCAUAUUGAUUUUUGAUUUUGACCAAACUAGAAAUGUAGUUACUUUUUUUUAGUUUAUGAGUGGGACACGUGAGACCCCCUGAGAACACUCUGCCAGCUGCAGUAACACUCUUGAGGACCUCAAGCAGAGGUCUACUGACUCCCUGGAUGGUUUCUGUCCAAGUUACACGACCCCUUGGUAAGGGAUGGUCAGCCCAGGCACAGUAAGGCCUGGCAGUUGUGGCCGCUUGACUCGAACUGCCCAAGAAGAGAGGUUUCAGCUUGGCUCAUCUAAUCCACUGUGCCUCUGACACUGCCUUCACCCCAGCAUAGAGAGGCUGCGGCUGUGUUGGCUGGGGCAGAGUGUGCUCCUGAGCUGCUCCAUGGCAUGUCAAGGCUGCUUAUAUUUGUAUAUCAUGAGCACAGAGACCCCCUAAGUGGAGGUUUUCCCCUGUUUUUCACAACACCCUUUACGCAACUCUUUGGGUUCCUGUGGAAAAAAAUCUCCUCAAUGCCUUAUUGAGCUCAUUUGAAAUUCCAAAACUAAUGAGGCUUUUGUCUCCCUCUUAACCUAAGAGCUAUUGUUACCUCUAAAAAUAAAAGAGAUAAUCUGUCAAAGAGCUAAAAAUACUGAGCUCUGAGAGCCUUUUCAGACCUUUACAUAGAAGAUGAUUGACACCCUUGCACCUUUAAUCUUCACAAAGAAAAUGGUGAGGCAGGAGCUCCUAUGCCCACCUCACCUCUUUCAUCAGCUGUCUGCCAGUUGUUCUUCCACAGCUUGAAUUGAUCUAGCACAAUCUGGGUAGAAGGUUUGUGCUCAGAAAGCGGUAUUCAUGAAGAAUCUACAGCAAUCACCCAAGGGUGCUUGGGCAACACUGUUUUAGGAAAGAGCUCUGUCUUUUUUUUAGUAGGAAAAGCAGGGAAUGCUUUCAGAUAGGUAUGCCAAGAAGUCCAGCUAUGUGCCACCUGCCCAAAUCCCCAUGGCUCCAGCACAAACAAAAGCUUUCCUGGAACACAGUAGGACGAGGGGUGCAGGCUGGGUAAGUCAUUGCAUGCUUUGAAUUGAACAGGACAGUAAAAACAAUUAGACCUAGUUACCAGUAGCAAAAAAAAAGCUCUCCUGUUUAUCAUGAAGAAGUCUUGAAUAGUCACAAUGCAGUGAGCAAAACUGUCCAUUUUCCAAAGCUUACUGGUCAGAACAGACGAACAUUUGCUUCACUUUCCUAACUGCAAAGUUGUGUUGCAUGGCCACAGCAAGUUGUUGGCAGAGGCAGGACUACAGGGGUGAGUCUGAGCGAAGAGAUAAGGAGUUGCCCCGUGGCAAACACAGCACACUCCAGCUGGCUCCACCAGACCCACUGCAGGACACAGACUGAGCCCAUCAGGUGAUGCCUCUAUGAUAAGGUAACACAGAGAGAGAGGAGAACUAAAAGGAAUGAGAAACAGCAGAGAGAACAUCAAGGUCAGAGGAGGAGCAGGUACACCUGAAAGAACUGCAGCCCAUGGAGUGCCCAGGAAGCAAUAGAUAUUUCCUGAGGGACUGCAGACUGUAAGGAGAAUCCACAUCAGAGCACAGGGAAAGUGCGAGAGGAAAAGAGUAGGAGAGAGAAAUCACUAAACCUCUAUGUUCUGACCAUAACUGCCCCCCUGCCCCUGCACCACCGGGGGAGCAUGUACAGGAGUCUGGAGAGGAGAAGAGAGGGGAGAGAAGGGAAGGGGAUGGGAGGAUAUAUCUUUGUAUUUCUUUGUGUCUUACAGCCAGAUUCUAUUCUAAUUGGCAAUAAAUUAAAUUAAUUUUCUCCAAGUCAAGACUGUAUUACCUACAACAGUAAUUGGUGAGAAAUCUCCCUGUCUUUAUAUUGACUUAUGAGCUUUCUCAUCCUAUUUUCUCCCCAUGCCCCACUGAAAGGGGUUAUGAGUGAGAAGCUGGAUGGAAAUUUGGGUGUUUGCCAAAGCUAACCCACCACAAAAGUGAACCCAUCACAAUGUGCCAAAAACUCAGCAGUACAUGGACUUUCUUGGCCUGGAGCCUCUGCAAGAGGAUGUAUUUGGUUCAAUCAAAGGA